AUCUGAUAAAGGCAAACCUAUUGAAAAGUGGGGACGCAAAGUCUCGGGUCUAAGGUAACAUACUAUGAUGGCUGGACUACCGGG
rnacentral:ncRNA from 1 species